UACGUAGGGUGCAAGCGUUAAUCGGAAUUACUGGGCGUAAAGCGUGCGCAGGCGGCUAUGCAAGACAGAUGUGAAAUCCCCGGGCUCAACCUGGGAACUGCAUUUGUGACUGCAUGGCUAGAGUACGGUAGAGGGGGAUGGAAUUCCGCAUGUAGCAGUGAAAUGCGUAGAUAUGCGGAGGAACACCGAUGGCGAAGGCAAUCCCCUGGACCUGUACUGACGCUCAUGCACGAAAGCGUGGGGAGCAAACAGG
rnacentral:rRNA from 1 species